UCCUUUCCAAGAAUUCGUGGUUUAGCAAUUCCUUCUAUUCUGAAAAGAAGAAUAUAUUGCCACGUUCAAAGGAUCUGAAUACUUCUGCUACGACUUGUCUCAAAACCCCAUUCAAAGCAGCAGUGAUGAAAUAACUCUGUCAUUUAAAACCCUUCAGAGGAAUGGACUGAUGCUUCACACUGGGAAAUCGGCUGAUUAUGUCAAUCUUGCCCUGAAAAAUGGAGCUGUCUCUCUGGUCAUUAAUUUGGGAUCAGGGGCCUUUGAAGCACUAGUGGAGCCUGUGAAUGGAAAGUUUAAUGAUAAUGCCUGGCAUGAUGUGAAAGUCACCAGGAAUCUGCGUCAGGUGACAAUAUCAGUGGAUGGGAUUCUUACCACAACGGGCUACACGCAAGAAGAUUAUACCAUGCUGGGGUCUGAUGACUUUUUCUAUGUUGGAGGCAGUCCCAGCACAGCCGACCUUCCAGGGUCACCAAUCCAGCAUGAAAGCACCUUUGCUGAAGACCCGAUGUUCCAGAGUCAAACGGCACAACUUUAAAUUCAAUAUUCUGCUAUUGUUUAUGUAGGAUUGGGGGAGGGAAACAGCUCAUAGAUCAUUAUGAAGGAAUUAGGUUCCUCUUCUUUAUUAGUCUGUAAGUAAUUUACAUUUGAGAUUUGUGUGGACAGUUGAUAUUAGCUAUAAAAGAAAGUCAAACAAAAAGAGAUACUGGGUCUAAAGUUAAGCUAAAUGGUUUACUUGCUUAUUUCUACCUAAAUGCCAUAGGUGUUAUGCAUACAGUGAUGACUUUUUUGACUAUUA
rnacentral:sRNA from 1 species